CUCAUAGCAAAACAGUGCAGCGGCUUUAAGCAGUUAGUAGCUUGGUAACAGUCCUGUUAAAACCAACAGAAGCAAAACAUGAAGAUUCAAGUGUGUUUGGUAAUGUCUGUCUUGCUGUUGUUUAUUGGCGUUGUUCAACAUUCUGUGGAGGCUUUCAAUGGAGGUUACCAUACGGGUAGAAGACAGCUUUCUUCCACAGAGUUUGAGGUGAAAGCCAGGAGUAUCUGUGAAGCGGCCAGAAAGUUGGAUUGUGCGGGAGUGAAAAUGGAGGGAUGACCCAGGAGGAAACUACCUAACAGAAAAAGCUUUUUAAGUAAUCAACUCUGAUGAAAUGAACACUUAAGACCAUGAAAAAGCUUCUGAAUAAAGAAACAUCAAUCAUGAAAAAA